rnacentral:snoRNA from 1 species
AAACAAAUUUCUGCAUGAUAUGGCAGCAGCUAAGGGAAUCAGGUUUGCUAAGGUAAUUGUGGUGAUAGGAAUGAUCAGCCUCCAAAGGUCCUGAGGAGGUGGCUUAGUCCUGGUCCAGCCCUGUG